rnacentral:rRNA from 1 species
GACUAUUGCAGUAGGGUCCCACCUCUUCCCAUUCCGAACAGAGAAGUUAAGCCUACUAGCGCCGAUGGUACUGCAGAGAUGUGGGAGAGUAGGUCGUCGCCAUUU